UACGUAGGGGGCGAGCGUUGUCCGGAUUUACUGGGCGUAAAGCGUCCGUAGGCGGUUGGCUCAGUCUCUGGUGAAAGCUCCCGGCUCAACCGGGAGAGGUCCAGGGAUACUGGUCGACUGGAGGGCAGUAGAGGCAGACGGAAUUCCCGGAGUAGUGGUGAUAUGCGUAGAGACCGGGAGGAACACCGGUGGCGAAGGCGGUCUGCUGGGCUGUCCCUGACGCUGAGGGACGAAAGCGUGGGGAGCGAACCGG
rnacentral:misc_RNA from 1 species